UGCUUAACACAUGCAAGUCGAACGGAAAGGCCCCUUCGGGGGUACUCGAGUGGCGAACGGGUGAGUAACACGUGGGCAAUCUGCCCUGCACUUCGGGAUAAGCCUGGGAAACUGGGUCUAAUACCGGAUAGGACCUUUAGACGCAUGUCUUUUGGUGGAAAGCUUUUGCGGUGUGGGAUGGGCCCGCGGCCUAUCAGCUUGUUGGUGGGGUGAUGGCCUACCAAGGCGACGACGGGUAGCCGGCCUGAGAGGGUGUCCGGCCACACUGGGACUGAGAUACGGCCCAGACUCCUACGGGAGGCAGCAGUGGGGAAUAUUGCACAAUGGGCGCAAGCCUGAUGCAGCGACGCCGCGUGGGGGAUGACGGCCUUCGGGUUGUAAACCUCUUUCACCAUCGACGAAGGUUCGGGUUUUCUCGGAUUGACGGUAGGUGGAGAAGAAGCACCGGCCAACUACGUGCCAGCAGCCGCGGUAAUACGUAGGGUGCGAGCGUUGUCCGGAAUUACUGGGCGUAAAGAGCUCGUAGGUGGUUUGUCGCGUUGUUCGUGAAAUCUCACGGCUUAACUGUGAGCGUGCGGGCGAUACGGGCAGACUAGAGUACUGCAGGGGAGACUGGAAUUCCUGGUGUAGCGGUGGAAUGCGCAGAUAUCAGGAGGAACACCGGUGGCGAAGGCGGGUCUCUGGGCAGUAACUGACGCUGAGGAGCGAAAGCGUGGGGAGCGAACAGGAUUAGAUACCCUGGUAGUCCACGCCGUAAACGGUGGGUACUAGGUGUGGGUUUCCUUCCUUGGGAUCCGUGCCGUAGCUAACGCAUUAAGUACCCCGCCUGGGGAGUACGGCCGCAAGGCUAAAACUCAAAGGAAUUGACGGGGGCCCGCACAAGCGGCGGAGCAUGUGGAUUAAUUCGAUGCAACGCGAAGAACCUUACCUGGGUUUGACAUGCACAGGACGCGUCUAGAGAUAGGCGUUCCCUUGUGGCCUGUGUGCAGGUGGUGCAUGGCUGUCGUCAGCUCGUGUCGUGAGAUGUUGGGUUAAGUCCCGCAACGAGCGCAACCCUUGUCUCAUGUUGCCAGCGGGUAAUGCCGGGGACUCGUGAGAGACUGCCGGGGUCAACUCGGAGGAAGGUGGGGAUGACGUCAAGUCAUCAUGCCCCUUAUGUCCAGGGCUUCACACAUGCUACAAUGGCCGGUACAAAGGGCUGCGAUGCCGCAAGGUUAAGCGAAUCCUUUUAAAGCCGGUCUCAGUUCGGAUUGGGGUCUGCAACUCGACCCCAUGAAGUCGGAGUCGCUAGUAAUCGCAGAUCAGCAACGCUGCGGUGAAUACGUUCCCGGGCCUUGUACACACCGCCCGUCACGUCAUGAAAGUCGGUAACACCCGAAGCCAGUGGCCUAACCCUUGGGAGGGAGCU
rnacentral:rRNA from 1 species